UUGCCACCAUUCAGGCCAUUAUGUCUUGUUUUGGGAGUUGACCGUCAACCUGUCUUCCCCAGUUCCUUCUUCAGUCUUUGAAGACUGUUGCCUCACCAUUGAAGAAUCUUUCAACAGAUCCUACCGACAGGGCCGUGUGUUUGACAAAUCUAUCGGGCAUCUGGAAAUCCGGACAGUGGAAACAGGUGUUGAUGAGGUAGAUAAAGACAUCAUGGGACUGUGAGUUGCGGACGAUAAAUCACACAAGAGGAAAAGUUGCUUGUUGGAUCAAAUGUGACGUCUAGAAACUAUGCUCAAGACUAAUUUGUCAGUUAUAAUUAGCUUGGGGACUUAGAAGGAAAUUAUGAGAGGAGAUUAUUCAAAGACUUGAUGCUGAAUUUUUAUUAUUAUUUAUUAUUCUGUAUAAGUUUUUGAGCUAGAGAGGGGCGGCUAUAGCUUGGAGAGAGAAAGCGUUUUCCUCUGGUUUUCACUAUUUGCACACCAAGAUCAUCUUCUAGUUUUCUGUGGUAUGAUGGAUAAACUUAUGAUGAUUCACGUUUUGUCCAUGAGUAGCUAAGCUUAUUGGUUAGGGUUAUGAAAAUCUUGUAGCAUAUUAUUUGUUUCUAUGGGUCUUGAAUUCAUUAUGCAUUGAUUUACU